AGCGAACGCUGGCGGCAGGCCUAACACAUGCAAGUCGAACGAAGUCUUCGGACUUAGUGGCGGACGGGUGAGUAACACGUGGGAACGUGCCUUUAGGUUUGGAAUAACUCAGGGAAACUUGUGCUAAUACCGAAUGUGCCCUUCGGGGGAAAGAUUUAUCGCCUUUAGAGCGGCCCGCGUCUGAUUAGCUAGUUGGUGAGGUAAAGGCUCACCAAGGCGACGAUCAGUAGCUGGUCUGAGAGGAUGAUCAGCCACAUUGGGACUGAGACACGGCCCAAACUCCUACGGGAGGCAGCAGUGGGGAAUCUUGCGCAAUGGGCGAAAGCCUGACGCAGCCAUGCCGCGUGAAUGAUGAAGGUCUUAGGAUUGUAAAAUUCUUUCACCGGGGACGAUAAUGACGGUACCCGGAGAAGAAGCCCCGGCUAACUUCGUG
rnacentral:rRNA from 1 species